rnacentral:tRNA from 1 species
GGGCGAUUAGCUCAGUUGGUCAGAGCAUCCGGUUUACACCCGGAAGGUCGAUGGUUCGAGCCCAUUAUCGCCCA